ACAAGUUACAUAUUCUCACUUAGGUCAGCUUCAAGCAUUCCGAUGGCUCUCACUGUCCCUCUCCCAACAGGAGGAUCUCAUCAGGGUGUCAGGAAAGGAGAGAUGGCGAUAGUAGACUUAAGUGAGGGACUUUUUGUUACAAAUAUAUGAUGGAAAGUAACAAAAUGGUCCAGGAGAUCCCAGAAGAUUCAACCGGAUCUAAGGCAGUUGCCAACCAGGGUCUACCCAGAGAAGUAGAACCACAAAACAGAGCUACAACAAUGGAAGUUUCAGAAAAUGCCAGAUGGUUUUCAUUGCAGAUUAAAAGAAGGGGAUAGAGAAACCUAAAGACCCUUUCAUUUCCAGAGGAGACUCUUGAAGUGUGCCGAAACCACGUUCUCUCACAGCACACCUAGCAGAGGACUCCUGUGGAGGAAGUACAGAGACUCAAGUCCCUGAAGUUGUCCUCCACAUGAACAUCAUGUGAGUGAGCAUGUACACAAACAAACA